UACGUAGGUGGCAAGCGUUGUCCGGAUUUACUGGGCGUAAAGCGCGCGCAGGUGGCCCGUCAAGUCCAGGGUGAAAUCUCUCGGCUCAACCGGGAGAGGUCUCUGGAUACUGGCGGGCUCGAGGGCAGCAGAGGAGAGCAGAAUUCCCGGUGUAGCGGUGAUAUGCGUAGAUAUCGGGAGGAAUACCAGUGGCGAAGGCGGCUCUCUGGGCUGUCCCUGACGCUGAGGUGCGAAAGCGUGGGGAGCAAACCGG
rnacentral:rRNA from 1 species